rnacentral:lncRNA from 1 species
UGCCAAUGUCUGGAAUAGGUUGUUUCCCGCAAUGUAAAAGGAUUUUUACUUGUUUUACGCUCCAGCUUAGAGAGGCAUUCUUAGAUGCUGUUUGCAAGAUUACAUUAUUGGAUCGAAUAAGUGGUGGCCAGUUACCUCUCUACACAACCUGAGAUAUAUCUCUAAGCGAGGACACAAAGCAGG